rnacentral:rRNA from 1 species
UAGCAGAGGGUGCGAGCGUUAAUCGGAAUUACUGGGCGUAAAGCGUGCGUAGACGGUUAUUUAAGUCGGGUGUGAAAGCCCCGGGCUCAACCUGGGGAAUUGCAUUCGAGACUGAAUAGCUAGGGUACGGUAGAGGGAAGCGGAAUUUCCGGUGUAGCGGUGAAAUGCGUAGAUAUCGGAAGGAACAUCAGUGGCGAAAGCGGCUUCCUGGACCAGUACCGACGUCAGCACGAAAGCGUGGGGAGCAAACAGGAAUU